UUCCCAGAGAUUGUUGCGCCCCCAGAGGAGGUCCUAAGGGAGAGCUCGGAGCAUUGGGCGGCCACAGCAGUAGUUGCGAGGAGAUUGGGCCAAUGAGUGGCACCAGAGCUAGUGGCCAAGGAAUUCUGCCUUCAGGCGGGGUUGAAGGGCGAGGUGGCGGCAUACGGGCUGGAGAAGGGCUUCCUUCUCUUCUGGUUCAAGG
rnacentral:lncRNA from 1 species